CUGACUCUGGAUGACUCAAGAGGGCUUUUCCUUCUCUCAGGAGCUACAAUAGUCACAGAGUGGUCAUGCAUACCUCAAUGGGACAAAGUAUCUCCUCUGAGACUUCAGAAAAUCCUUUUCUUCUGGAGCCACUCUGUUCUGGAUUACCCUGAGAUUUUAAUGAGAUAAAGUCUAGAGAUGUAUAUAACUUUUCUGCAUCAUUUUGGAAUUUUAAUGAGAUGAAACGAGACCCAGAGACACCUGUUCUAGACCACUUUGGGAUCUUAAUGAGAGUGUGUGUGUUGGUAGGUGUCAUCAGUGGAGGGCUGGUGGUUGGAAGUUAGAGGAGUAGCUGUUUAUGAAUUCUAGACCUGGACAGUCUUUGUCAUUAAGUUGAUAUGUGACCCCAUGGAUGCAAACAGGUUGAAGACAAGAGCUCUCUUUAAUGGAACCUGAACAGUGCCUAACUCCUGUAGAUAUUCACUGAAUGUUAAAUAACAACAGUGAUCAUGUAAUAAUGAUGCCCAAUUCACUUGGGAGAGAAUACCAAAUAGCUUGGAAUUUUCCUGUUACUGCCAGCAUGGCCUGAGAGCAUCCUGAGGUGAAUUUAAAAACUUCAGUGAUUCAAAUCACAUUUACCAUAAGAAAUACAUCUUCUAGCUUAGAGUAUUGUUCAGCUGAUUGCUGGCUUACUGUGUCUUCGUUCGAAUCAUCCAGGUCUGGAAGAAAGAUAUUGUGCUUUAAUGAUAAACAAUCUCAAAAGGGAGCAAGAGGGAUUCAACUGGCUCUUCUGGCCAGUGCCUUUCUCUUCAUUUCCCUCAUCCAGUAUUUUUUCCAACUGUUUCAGUUGCUUUGAAGUAAAUUAUUACCAUAUGAGCUCAAUUUAAAGAGCUGCUAUAGAAA
rnacentral:lncRNA from 1 species